rnacentral:rRNA from 1 species
UGAAGUUGGAAUCGCUAGUAAUCGCGGAUCAGCUACGCCGCGGUGAAUGUGUUCCUGAGCCUUGUACACACCGCCCGUCAAGUCAUGGGAGCCGGAAAUAGCCGAAGUGGCCACACUACUGUGGUCCCUACGCUAGGUUCGGUGACUGGGACUAAGUCGUAACAAGGUAGCCGUAGGGGAACCUGCGGCUGGAUCACCUCCUUU